AUUACUCACAGCCGAUUUAUGGGCUGUGGUCUUUCGUGUUUUUUUCUACCACCAAAAGGUGGACUGGUUAUACUACGUCUCAUUUUUAUUCGUUGGUAUUGGUCUUGUCAUAUAUUCUAAAACGGAGAAGUAUUCUCCAGAACUACAAAAGGUCGAAAAUGGUGACCCGGACC